rnacentral:rRNA from 1 species
ACACGUAGGGGCCUGACGUUGUUCGGAAUCAUUGGGCGUAAAGGGCGCGCAGGCGGCCGUCCAAGUCCGGUGUUAAAUGGUCGGGCUCAACCCGAUCAUGCGCUGGAAACUGGGCGGCUGGAGUCCCGGAGGGGAUGCCGGAAUUCCAGGUGUAGGGGUGAAAUCUGUAGAUAUCUGGAAGAACACCGAUGGCGAAGGCAGGCAUCUGGCCGGAGACUGACGCUGAGGCGCGAAGGCGCGGGGAGCGAACAGGUUUAGAUACCCUGGUAGUCCGCGCAGUAAACGAUGCGCACCAGGUGUCGGGCGGCAGCGCCCGGUACCGGAGCUAACGCGAUGAGUGCGCCGCCUGGGGAGUAUGCCCGCAAGGGUGAAACUUAAAGGAAUUGACGGGG